GCCGGGUAUGGUGGCUCACGCCUGUAAUCCCAGUACUUUGGGAGGCUGAGGCAGGUGGAUCACCUGAGGUCAGGAGUUCCAGACCAGCCUGACCAACAUGGUGAAACCUGUCUCUA
ensembl:misc_RNA Metazoa_SRP Metazoan signal recognition particle RNA